UACGAAGGGGGCUAGCGUUGCUCGGAAUCACUGGGCGUAAAGCGCACGUAGGCGGACUCUUAAGUCGGUGGUGAAAUCCUGGAGCUCAACUCCAGAACUGCCUUUGAUACUGAGGGCCUUGAGACCGGAAGAGGUCGGCGGAACUGCGAGUGUAGAGGUGAAAUUCGUAGAUAUUCGCAAGAAUACCAGUGGCGAAGGCGGCCGACUGGUCCGGUUCUGACGCUGAGGCGCGAAAGCGUGGGGAGCAAACAGGG
rnacentral:rRNA from 1 species